GUCGCCGCGAGGCGGGGUUUAUCGGGGCGCCCAAUCCAAAGCUGCGGGGCGAUGAACAAAAACCGGAUAUGAGGCGUGAUGCAUCCGGGACCAGCGGGCACGUGUCCGCGAAGUCCUCCAUCUGCGGCAGUAGAGUACAUUUUGUCCCACCAGGGGAUUACCUUCGGGGCAUAAAUCCGGCGUCUAUGCAGUGAAGGUAACGCG
rfam:Rhodocyclales bacterium RIFCSPLOWO2_02_FTLL_63_24 rifcsplowo2_02_scaffold_2543, whole genome shotgun sequence.